rnacentral:rRNA from 1 species
CCUACGGGUGGCAGCAGUGGGGAAUAUUGCACAAUGGGGGAAACCCUGAUGCAGCGACGCCGCGUGAGUGAAGAAGUAAUUCGUUAUGUAAAGCUCUAUCAGCAGGGAAGAAAAUGACGGUACCUGAGUAAGAAGCCCCGGCUAACUACGUGCCAGCAGCCGCGGUAAUACGUAGGGGGCAAGCGUUAUCCGGAUUUACUGGGUGUAAAGGGAGCGUAGACGGCAGUGCAAGUCUGGAGUGAAAGGCGGGGGCUCAACCCCCGGACUGCUCUGGAAACUGGCAAACUGGAGUGUGUGAGAGGAUAGUGGAAUUCCAGGUGUAGGAGUGAAAUCCGUAGAUAUCUGGAGGAACAUCAGUGGCGAAGGCGACUAUCUGGCACAUAACUGACGCUGAGGAGCGAAAGCGUGGGUAGCAAACAGGAUUAGAUACCCCUGUAGUC